rnacentral:sRNA from 1 species
GCCAGGCGUGGUGGCACAUGCCUGUAAUCCCAGCAGCUCGGAGGCUGAGACAGGAGGAUCACAGUUCAAAGUCAGCCUCAGCAAAAAGCAAGGCACUACACAACUCAGUGAGACUCUGUCUCUA